CUGGGGUGAUUUCUCCGCUGUGAAGUCGACAUGUCGAAGGCGUGGGCGGUGUUGGUAAGCGUGGGCGUGAGCUGCCUCAGCGUCGUCACGGGCGUACCAGCCAAACUGGAGAGGCUCACGACAGCCGCCUCAGCUCAAGGCUACACCUACAGGACGCCUCCCGCAGCACCAGUGGGCUAUAACUACGACCCACCGAAAAUUCCGUCAAAUUUAUACGAGAUUCCUGAGAAGCCUUCAGGGUUAUACGUCACACCCCUCCCCCCAACUAUUACGACCACCCUCCCUCGACUACGAGACCCCCUCCCCCCCCCUCCCC